rnacentral:rRNA from 1 species
UACGUAGGGUCCGAGCGUUGUCCGGAAUUAUUGGGCGUAAAGAGCUCGUAGGCGGUUUGUCGCGUCUGCUGUGAAAUCCCGAGGCUCAACCUCGGGUCUGCAGUGGGUACGGGCAGACUGGAGUGCGGUAGGGGAGAAUGGAAUUCCUGGUGUAGCGGUGAAAUGCGCAGAUAUCAGGAGGAACACCGAUGGCGAAGGCAGGUCUCUGGGCCAUAACUGACGCUGAGAAGCGAAAGCAUGGGGAGCGAACAGG